rnacentral:tRNA from 1 species
GCCCAGGUGGUGGAAUUGGUAGACACGCAUGACUCAGAAUCAUGUGCCGCGAGGUGUGGGGGUUCGAGUCCCCCUCUGGGCACCA